UUCGCCCUGUCUGCCUAUAAAGUGAUUUAACAUUAACCACAGGUCACUCUAGCAGCACAGUACUACUUCCUGACAAAACCUUUUUGAAAGCUCCCCCACCAACAAAACAAUCUACAUACGCCGAAGAAUGUGAAAUCUACUGCCCCAGGCCAGUGUCUUGGGCUUUCUGCCUAAGAAGUUUGCUUUCAGCCAGAAGAAGGGGGAAAAGAAUCACAAUGUAACAACAGCAGAUUGUAGAAUACAGCGAACAGCCCUCCUGCUUGUUGGCGCCGUUCCCAAGCAGCAGUUCCAGUGGCUGGGCCUUGAGCCCAUUCAAGAAUUCCAACUCACAGGAAGUGUUUCAAAUAUAGUUAUUUGAUCUUUCAGCAUUUGCAAAUGCACCUGCUGAGCAAGGAGCCUGACAGCCAUCGCCCCAGUUCCUUCCUAUCCGUCUUCACCAGUCAUCGUAGAGGCGGUUUCAGGAUUAGGUGAGGUGCAAAGUACAGAAAACCCCAGCCAAAGAUUUCUGCUGCUGCACGAGGUUAGGCGCGACCUGUGGCUUUUGGUUCCUUUCUCCCCACACUAACUUCCCUGUCACUUUUCUCCCCGGAGCAGUUAAAUUGGUAAUAUCAGACAAGUGAUCCUCACAGACCUACCAGUAUGAUCCUAUGAUGCGAUGUUUACCAGCUCAGGCAAGAUGAAAAGCACAGGAAGAGAGGCAAAAGGUACAUGGAAAUCCUCUGGACUCCUCCUCCUUUCCUCCUAAUAAGCCCAGUUGUUACUGGUCUGAGAAUGUUGCCUGUCACAGGGAGACAGCUGGCAGGCUUGUAUCCUGGUGUACUUAGCUUCAAAUAUAGGCUCAAGUAUUCAAUAGAUGAAAAACCACUUUCAGAAUUUUCUUAUGACCAUCACGGACGCAAACCUUACUACCAUAAUGCUUUCUUGAGGGGCU